CGAAGCCUUUCUUAAUAUUACAAAAAUGCCCCGACAUGAACACCCCGCCUUCCUUCUUGGUUUCUUUCGGUUCUUUUCUUCUCCAUUAGCUCUAGUAGCAAUUCUUACUCAAACCACCUUCAUCCACCUCCUUCUGUCGGCAACACCCUCCACCACUUCCUUCUGUCACCACCACCAUCUCCAUGACCACCACCACCCUCCUCCAAAACAAAUUCUCGUUCUUCGUUUUUCGCGACUAAUCACUCCGCGAAACGAAAGUAAAGCAAAACAAACAAAGAAUUGGGUUCCUCUCUCUCGAAUUGGGGAGUUUUGAUUCAUCCACCAAAGUGGUGGAAUCGGAUGAAUAAGAUAACUCGACGACACCUCUCAACAAAUCGGAUGAGAGAAGCACCAGUACAGCAGUGGACAACAAUUAAGUCUUCAUUCCCAGUCUUAGUUUGUAGAGUUGCGGAGCGGGAUGGAAUUAAGCUGAUAGAAACAUCAACUUAACACAAUAGAGUACCAUAUAAGGCUAAUAUUUUUUUCUCUUUUUUGCUCUGAUUACACAUGUAUGUUUGAUGAUUUCUAAGGGUGAUUGUGUAAUGUUUUAGGUCCUCAAGAAAAUGACCAUAUGAGACGGUCACGUCAUGUUUACUUUGUACUGAUUUAGCUACCGGUUUGGUUAAAGAAAUUGGUUGAUGCUUGGGACAAAAAUUCCAGGAUUUGGCGAUGAAGGCUGUGCUUGAUAUUGCUGCUGCAAUACACGGUGGUGGUCAUGUAAAGGCUGAAGUGAAAUGGUCUUUCUACAAGAAGAGUCAGUUUAUGUUCUUGCAGAUUGUUGGAAGAUAUUUAAUUCUAGCUGAUGUGAAGUAUGUUUGAAGGAAGCAUCAACUUUAAUGAUUGGAUGUUUGCCGUGUUUAAGAGGGACGAGCGCGCGUAAGACAGUAUGCUUCAUGAGGUAUUCAGGCACUGAUUUCCUUAACAAAGAAAAAACGUCUAAAAGCUUGAAAGGUACUACGGAAGCAAUUAAUGUACCUGCAUUGUAUUAGAUGAGGAGGUAUGAUGUCAUAAAACCAAAUUGAACUCUUGACAUGGUUUUGGAUAUCUAUUGAUGACUUUGCAGU